UGUUCUGUGGCUGAGUUGGUUAAAGCGCCGGUCUAGCGAAUACGGAGUCGUGGGUUCAAAUCGCAUCAGAACUC
rnacentral:tRNA from 1 species